rnacentral:siRNA from 1 species
GAUAUUAAUAUGGAAUGGUGUACU